UGGGGAAUAUUGGACAAUGGGCGAAAGCCUGAUCCAGCCAUGCCGCGUGUGUGAAGAAGGUCUUCGGAUUGUAAAGCACUUUAAGUUGGGAGGAAGGGCAGUAAAUUAAUACUUUGCUGUUUUGACGUUACCGACAGAAUAAGCACCGGCUAACUCUGUGCCAGCAGCCGCGGUAAUACAGAGGGUGCAAGCGUUAAUCGGAAUUACUGGGCGUAAAGCGCGCGUAGGUGGUUCGUUAAGUUGGAUGUGAAAUCCCCGGGCUCAACCUGGGAACUGCAUUCAAAACUGACGAGCUAGAGUAUGGUAGAGGGUGGUGGAAUUUCCUGUGUAGCGGUGAAAUGCGUAGAUAUAGGAAGGAACACCAGUGGCGAAGGCGACCACCUGGACUGAUACUGACACUGAGGUGCGAAAGCGUGGGGGAGCAAAACAGGAUUAGAU
rnacentral:rRNA from 1 species